rnacentral:rRNA from 1 species
CCUACGGGAGGCAGCAGUGAGGAAUAUUGGUCAAUGGGCGAGAGCCUGAACCAGCCAAGUCGCGUGAAGGAUGACGGCCCUACGGGUUGUAAACUUCUUUUGUCAGGGAGCAAUUGAGUCCACGUGUGGGCUUAGCGAGAGUACCUGAAGAAAAAACAUCGGCUAACUCGGUUCCAGCAGCCGCGGUAAUACGGAGGACGCGAGCGUUCUACGGAUUUAUUGGGUUUAAAGGGUGCGUAGGCGGAAUAUCAAGUCAGCGGUAAACAUUCGGGGCUCAACCCCGUCGUGCCGUUGAGACUGAUGUUCUUGAGUGGGCGAGAGGUAUGCGGAAUGCGUGGUGUAGCGGUGAAAUGCAUAGAUAUCACGCAGAACUCCGAUUGCGAAGGCAGCAUACCGGUGCCCAACUGACGCUGAAGCACGAAAGCGUGGGUAUCGAACAGGAUUAGAUACCCCAGUAGUC